UUCUCCUCAAUAGUCUCAAUACAUUAAAAUAUGUAUAGAUUUUCUUUGUAGCUUCCUUAUCGACUGUAAGGUCGAUAAGGCCUCUCCCGGCACGUGAGGAGUCAUCUCGAUCUACUCAUUGCGACACCGCAGACCUAAUCGUGAUAAGAGAAAAAAAAGAGUAAGAGAAAGAGAUAAACAGGCAGAGAGAGCAAAAUGAACACUUGGAUGCGCCGCGGGGUCUCCGUCAGGAUGCGGAAUCCGUUCGCUCGCAGAUGUCGGGCCCGGGGCCCGGGGCUUUCUGAUGUGUAUGAGAGAAGAGAGGGGCCGUCUUAUCCUAUCCUGUGUUGCCGCUGCUCGCGGGCACGUACCGUGGCUACCGCCAUCAGCGGGCAGUCUCUUAUUACGCCCGCGCUCAGUUCUACGCGAAUUCUAAAUACUCUUCUUAGACCGCUUGAUAAUAACGCGAACACGGAUAUCAGGAUCUCGAAAGUCGACCAUCAAAAUAACGGAUUUUAUUGAGAGAAAAAGAGAGAAAGAAAAAACUUUAAAUAGUCUUUGGAGAUGACGACAAUAAUGAUGGAUAACACAAAUAUCGAAAUUUCGAAAAUCUUAUCUGAUUUAUUAAAUAGGAGACAAAAUCGAAUGUGAAUAAUGGAUGAUGAUGGAGGACAACAGAACAAGAGAUCGAAGGAUCAAGAGAGAGCAUCAUCCUAUAAUAUCGUCGAAAUCUUCGUUAGGUUGCACGAUAUUUAGAUCGCGGCUAUAUUUCUCGCUGAGAGUCUUAUCGAGCGGUUUAACUCGAUGGCAUUGCAACAAGUGGAUUUCCGCGAGUAAAGGAGAACGAAGCGAGCGAAGAAUCCUCCUCUGCUCGUCGAGGAGAGAGGCGAUUAGCGGGUCUCGUCGCCUCAGCAGUAGGAUCACGUCGGCAUUAACACGCGCGCGCUAGGAAUCUAUGGUAGGACGCAAGUAGAUUGCUGCGAUCGUUAUCGCGCCAUCGGUGGUACUUUUUAUUCGAAAACAUUUGUGUAUUUUUUUGUUUAUCGAUUAUAGAAUGCCAAAUAAAUUAAUAGAGCCUCAAAUGAAAAAAUUAAUUGUUAAUAAAGAGAAAAACUCUUUAUUGAAAAAAGAGAGAAAAAAUAUUUCUAAAAAUAUAAAUCAAUUAUCCAGGCGAUAUUCCAACUAAUUUAAAACAGUAAGACGUGAGAUUGAGAAUAUGGAUAAUUUCUCAUAUAGAAUAUCGAUGUAUAUUACCGUAGUCCUCGAUGAUGUGGAAUUCGCUUUAAAUUGCAAAUCUUAAAUCGAUGAUUAGCUAUUCCGUAGCAUGAAAUAGCAACUAAGAUCCUUGUUAGAUUUUAUAAAAGAAAAAAACAAUUAAAAAGGAAAAAA